AAUUGGGGGACGCGCCGAGGUCCCAGAGAGGCGGUGGGUAGGUGGGGGCGGGGUCCAGGUGGACAGAGACCACGUGUCUGUCCAGUCUUCUGAUUCUACCUCGCCCCAGGAGAGAUGGUGAAAUUAAAGCGGAAGCUUCGGGAAACUUCGAUGAAUUAUCCACACGGCCAGGCAGAUCUGUCAGACGACCCGCCUCCUGUCUUCCCGUGUCAGUGUCCCUUCUGCCUCCGGGAGCGCCUCCUGCGUGGACGGCGUCCUCCGCUCUUUCGUGGGUGUGUUCACAUGGUUCCCAUGAGCCCUACAGGGCAGGAGCUGCUUCUAUUCCCGCCUCCCAGAGACAGAGGCGUUGCGAGAGACACGCUGAAGAAUACCGCGGACGUCUGGCUGUCUGCCCUGAGCGCGGCCCUUUAGUGGGUCAGCCCUUGGACACCACGCCGCAAGGCCUAAGACCCUGCCCCUCGCCCCCCUUGUCUCAGCUGUUUCCUCCCACGUGUCCCAAGGAGCUGUCAUGAUGCCUGCAUGUCAAAGGCCAGUGUCAGGGUUGAUAGGACCCCACCUCAUGGUCCAGGGAAGCUGCAUGAGGACUUACGCAGCUCCAGAUCUCCCUUGGUCUCCCGCCCGGGGACCCUCACCCUGAUUCACUCUCACCCACUAUGCUAAAGGCGCUGAGCUCUGGGUAGGCACAGAGCAAGAUGAGUUCUGGCCACAUGGUGGCACCAGAGCUCCCUGCUCUGCCCAGGUACUCAUUGUGGGCUGUGGGGUUGCCAUGGUGAUGAGACGUGCACUGCCCUGCGCCAGGCCCUGCCAACGGCACCAGGAGGCAUCCGUUCUUGUGGCCCCACUAGGGGCUGGGGGUAAAUCAGUGGGAGUCAACGCUGGAGCUGCAGGGAACACUGGUGUGAAGGAAACAGGUGGGCUGUGUAAGGCCCCGCCUGAUGCCCCACAUCCUUGCACCUGCAUGGCCGCAGCAUAGCUGUGCCUGUGUAAGCUCUUUAGGAAGAUCCUCUGUGUGGGGUUGGGCCCCUGUGACUGUCAGUGGGAUUCUGGGGAGGCCCUAGGCACUGCAAGAAGGAUGGGCCCCCCAAUCCUGGCUGGCCCGGCAUGUUGCCCAACACCCAGAAAGUUCUGGUGGGUGUGUCCCGAGAUGCCCACGAUCUUGGCUCAUUUUCUUCCCAAUCACCAAAAUCCAUCUUCACUCUGGCCCAGGUGGGCACCGACAGAGGGGGCAGCUGGGCUGGCAAGGCUGCAGCAUGGACAUGGUGGAAGGUCUGAGCUCAGUAGGGAUCCAACUGGCAGGGCCUCAUUUGCCUGCCCCCACACACCCCCGUGGGGUACACAGACACCCCCCUUGGAGGGAGGGCUCCUUCAAAACAGCCAAAGCCCUUGCCUCAGGCCCACUACUCAGCAGCUGCUCUGGGUUAUCGGGUCCUGGGAGGGGGAGUGAAGGACUCAGGUCUUUGCAGAGUGGGCCCCACAGAGCUGUGCUCCGAGGUGGCUCCACCAACCUGUGGUCGUCAGAUGAUGGUCGAGUGCACAGAUGGGCCCCUCCUUGUUGCCAG
ensembl:lncRNA